GAGUUACCCAACACUAAAACCUGAUAAAGGCGAAGAAAAUUUUGUGAAAUACAGAAAGGAAAACGAGAAAAGAGAGACUAGCUAAAGUAGGCGCACCAAAACAAACAGUCAGAUAUAAAACUUCGACCUCAACAGUUCGCAUCCUCUCCUCCGUUUGAUCCAGAAAUAAACUUUAACCGGAAAAUAGGAACAGAAAGUGCUAGAAAAGAAAGACCAUUAUGGCAGACACUGCACAUUUCAUUCACGAACGAUUCCAGACGUUUAUGAACGGCCUCGGCGACCGUUAUGAGCCCUACGUGCGCGAGCACCUGUCCAAGGUUUACAUGGUCCUGGGCAGCACUGCCGCCGCCACGGCCAUGGGAGCCCUGCUUCAGAUGCGAGACUUCCUCGAUCUCGGAGUCCUGGCGGCGGUGGCCACACUGAUCCUAGUCCUAGGUCUGCACUUCUACAAAGACGAUGGCAAGAACUACUACACACGACUGAGCAUGCUCUACGCAUUCGGAUUCUGCUCUGGCCAGACCCUCGGACCGCUCCUCGGCUAUAUAUGCAGCAUUAAUCCGGCCAUUAUUCUAUCGGCCCUCACCGGCACCUUUGUCACCUUCAUCACGCUCUCCCUGGCCGCCCUCUUGGCCGAGCAGGGCAAGUACCUCUACCUGGGCGGAAUGCUUGUCAGCGUCAUCAACACCAUGGCCCUAUUGAGUCUCUUCAACAUGGUGUUCAAGUCCUAUUUCGUGCAAGUGACUCAACUCUACGUCGGCGUUUUCGUGAUGGCUGCCUUCAUCGUCUAUGACACCCAGAACAUCGUAGAGAAGUGCCGGAACGGAAACCGAGAUGUGGUGCAGCAUGCCCUAGAUCUGUUCUUCGAUGUGCUUAGCAUGUUCCGCCGAUUGCUGAUUAUCCUGACACAAAAGCUCAAGACCUUCAUGGUUUAAGGCGAUUAAUGCCCAAGCGAAUCGGCCGAAUUAUCUUGGUCAGAUAAUCCUCGAACAGUCGCUAAUCACUUUGCAAAAUCUUUCCAAAAUGAAAUUCGCUGUGAUAAACCAUUUCAAACGGAGGAGCGUAAACAGAAUGAACGUCGCAAGAGAAACUAAGUCAAUCUUUAAACAAUCCCAACCAGCAAAACAAAACAUCUGGCGAGGGAAAAGGCGGUUGGUAGUUUUCUCUUUCUAAACAUUUAUUCGCAUAUAAAUUAAAAAGGGCCGUGUACAUUUGGCUUUAAAUUUACAUAUGUACAACUGUUCAAUAUGAAACCCAUGCAAAUUCCCUAUUUAAUAAAUACCACAAAAAGUCA